rnacentral:pre_miRNA from 14 species
CACGGACAUCUCGCUCUGUCCCUCUCAGAUCUUUUUGCGGUCUGGGCUUGCUGUUCCUCCAACCCACACUCAGGAAGCCCUUACCCCAAAAAGUAUCCGCGGGGGAGCCACACGGCUGGGCUCGAG